rnacentral:lncRNA from 1 species
GUUUAGUUCUGUCAGGGCCUCUUUUCUAUCCACAUUUAUUUUAGAAUAUAUUUUUAAAAGUCUAUAUAAACUGAAGAGCUGUUUAAAAGCACUUGGAGUAUUGUUUUUCCAGCAAUUUAUUCCAGUUUGUUUGCUUGUUCCUUUUGCAUAAGCUCCUUGUGUUCAAAUUUGCCCUCUCUCCAAAUUCAGGACAUCCUCAAUUUGAUGAUCACAGAAGAUUUUCUGCCUACCCAUCCUUAAAAUUUCCAGCAGUGUUUUCAAUAUCUAUACUUAUAAAUCACUCCUCUGUUUUCUCAGAAGAUCCAUAAAAAUAUUAUCAUCUUUUUGCAGCCUGAGAAGACACUGUACAACAUUUCCACUCACUGUUUUUGGUUUGGAAUGCUUCAGGUGAAAAGCCUACAAUUAUGCAAAAGUCAGUGCUGUUCCUUCCACCAAAGCUUUCUUUCACUUUCUCAGUCAGUUCAAAAUUUACAACAAAAUUUGUUUCUAACUGGGCAACAGAGGAUUCCCUUUCACAUCAGUCAGCUUUGUCUUCCUCCAUUUUUGUUGUUUAUAUGUGGAACUGAACAAUAACUGAAACAGUUCACUCUUUUCCCAGAACGUUAUAGAAAAGUAAUUUCCCCAAGGACUAAAUUACAUACAUAAAAAUACUGUCAUCAGCACAGUGGACUGAUUGAUGUUGUUUUGAUAAAGUAGAAAGCUGUAUCUGGUGUAUUUGAAAGGAGCACAUGUGACUCCUGUGAAUCAUAAGCAUAAAUUCCGGCCACCAGGCCUGCUCGUGAGAUCUGUACAGUUUCUGCUGGUGAGUCAUCUGAUUGCCAAAGUAAUACAUGCAGCUUUUCAGUAUGAUUUCAUCAGAUUCUAGGUCCAAUUGAUACUUAGAUGCCUGUGAUGUCAAUUCCUUUUCCAUAAUCUAAUACAGUGAAAACUGUUUCCCUGAAUAUUUUCAACAUGAAUGUGCAAAGAGUAAUUUAGGCUGAUGCAAUCGGCUAUAAAUCACCUGAGCCGAGAUUCAUUUAGAAUGAUCUAAUGAAAACAUGGACUCCCCAUAUUCACAGCAGAGAAGUUUUUCACAUUGAACACAGACCAGAGAAGUGUUUCCACUAAUUUAUAGGAUGAAAAAAAAAAAAAAACUACUGCCUUUCAUUUCUCUACUCUUCCGACAACUCUGAGAACAAUGGUUCCUGAGAGUGACAAUAUCUGAGGAAAGAGCAGGUCCUGCAACCAACGAGAAAUUCUCCUGCAGCAUUUCAAAGCAGGCAAGAUGGAGAGUAUUUGAGCGGUCAAAUAGAGGAUAUGAGAAGAAAAAAAGAAUAACUUCUAUGUGGAAAACCAUUCAUCAAAGACUGCAUCUGUGAAGGUGUGCAGGAGGACAAAAAUAGGAUCAUUUGGAGACAAAUGGGUUUGUCCCCCUGUUCCAUUCAGGAAUAGAUGAGCCAAAUUGUGAAGACUUCGAACAGCAGGGUCAUACUUUCCCGUGGGGUCACUGUAACCUAGACACAUGAUAACCUUGCAGAAGACAGACAAUGAUGGAAACCUCCUGACCCCUUCUACCUCUUCAUCAGAACCAAAAUUUACCUCUGUUUCCUCCUUACGCACUCUAAUAAUCUGCCAUGAGACGGGAUGUUAGAAGUUACAUCACAAGAGGAGGGAAUGAAGAAUUUGGUAGCACUGAGGUGCUGGAAGAGGGAUAGAGAGCACCGUGAGAGCGGUGUGGAGGAUUGCUGUAAUGUGACUGUGGAAGCCAAGCCAGGAGGAUGAGGUUCCAAGUGCAGUAACCUUGCUCAGGCACAAGAUGAUGGACUAGAGGAGGCACUCCCAAUCACUGUUACCCCAUGGACUCUGUAUGGUUAACAAAUAUCACUUAAAUUUAAAUUAAGCAGAUAAUUAAAAUAAGUUAUGUCUAUAACUGUGUGAGUUUGAUUACUUAAGGCUUUUAUUUGGGGGUGCUAUAGCAUCCUCCCUUUUCAUUGCAGAGUCACGGAAUAGGGUUACAGGGUUAUACUAUUAGUAAUAUAAAAGAAUUUCUGCACUUGAUUGUCAAUUAACAUCUCUUAGUAACCCUCCACUAAACAGGAAGCCCAGGGACCUAGAAUGUCCAGUAUGAGGGAGUGGGUAGGAAGUAGUAGUCUUCAUGCAGAAAUGCAUACCCAUUCAGAAAAGCGGC